rnacentral:rRNA from 1 species
AACGAACGCUGGCGGCAUGCCUAACACAUGCAAGUCGAACGAGAUCUUCGGGUCUAGUGGCGCACGGGUGCGUAACGCGUGGGAAUCUGCCCUUUGGUUCGGAAUAACAGUUGGAAACGACUGCUAAUACCGGAUGAUGACGAAAGUCCAAAGAUUUAUCGCCAGAGGAUGAGCCCGCGUAGGAUUAGCUAGUUGGUGUGGUAAAGGCGCACCAAGGCGACGAUCCUUAGCUGGUCUGAGAGGAUGAUCAGCCACACUGGGAAUGAGACACGGCCCAGACUCCGACGGGAGGCAGCAGUGGGGAAUAUUGGGCAAUGGGCGAAAGCCUGAUCCAGCAAUGCCGCGUGAGGGAUGAAGGCCUUAGGGUUGUAAAGCUCUUUUACCCGGGAUGAUAAUGACAGUACCGGGAGAAUAAGCUCCGGCUAACUCCGUGCCAGCCGCCGCAGUAA